rnacentral:rRNA from 1 species
AUUGAACGCUGGCGGCAGGCCUAACACAUGCAAGUCGAGCGGAUGAAGGGAGCUUGCUCCUGGAUUCAGCGGCGGACGGGUGAGUAAUGCCUAGGAAUCUGCCUGGUAGUGGGGGAUAACGUCCGGAAACGGGCGCUAAUACCGCAUACGUCCUGAGGGAGAAAGUGGGGGAUCUUCGGACCUCACGCAAUCAGAUGAGCCUAGGUCGGAUUAGCUAGUUGGUGGGGUAAAGGCCUACCAAGGCGACGAUCCGUAACUGGUCUGAGAGGAUGAUCAGUCACACUGGAACUGAGACACGGUACAGACUCCUACGGGAGGCAGCAGUGGGGAAUAUUGGACAAUGGGCGAAAGCCUGAUCCAGCCAUGCCGCGUGUGUGAAGAAGGUCUUCGGAUUGUAAAGCACUUUAAGUUGGGAGGAAGGGCAGUAAGUUAAUACCUUGCUGUUUUGACGUUACCAACAGAAUAAGCACCGGCUAACUUCGUG